CAAAAGUUGUAAUAAUUUAUAUAAUUAGAUAAUAGUUUCUGAAAUUUGUGUUUCACAGAACAUUAUGAGAUUUGGAUAAUUAGUUAAUGUUUUAUGUAAUUAAAAAAUUAUAAUUGUUGUAGAGCCAAAAUUUUGCUCGGAGUCCAAUAAACAAAAUCACUAAAUCCAAUUACAAUAACCCUAACCCAAAUUACCAGCCCAAGCCCAAAUAAAAAAUUACAAGCCUAAAAAACAAACAAAAUCAGAAAAAAAAAAAAACCUAAGGUUCCCUAACCCUUUUUGCGCCGCAUGCCUCAUGCACCCCCGCCUGCUCUCUGCCACAACUCCGUACAUGCACACCCUUGCACCUGCAACGACCUACAGCAAUCGCAACAAACGCAAGCAGCAGCAAAGAAAAAGAACAAUAGCAGAAGACACGAGGACAACAUAGAAAAAAUAGCAGAAAAAAACAAAAAAAAACAAAAAGAGAAAUGUCCUGAAUUUUUCUAUUGUAUUUUCGGCUAUAUAAAGCCGUUUUCGGUUUUUGUAAAGGGCC
rnacentral:lncRNA from 1 species